AUGUCUAUUGUUCCUAAAAUGAAUGUAUUUUUUGUGCCCUUAAAUGACAAAGAGGUGUCCACCAGAGAGUUUGCCCACAAAGGAGAGAGCAAAUAUGGCAGAAUGAGUGAUCAAAUAUGUGGCAAGUGCAAAGGGAUUCGACAUGGGAAUAAAGACUUGAAAGGUAAUGUCUAUUGUGUGGUUUGCAAGAGGUAUUCCCACGGGACUGAACACCGUACUGCGUUGAAGCAACCUAAACCUGUUGCAAAAUAUGUGGGUUUUGGAGCUAGAGAGUUGGGCUACAUAUUAGUCUUGUAUGGGCGUAUCGAUGUCAUUGGGCUUGUCAUCCAAGUUAUACAGAGGACGAAUGUUGCUCAUUAUUAUUUUAUCUCUUGA
rnacentral:rRNA from 1 species